rnacentral:tRNA from 1 species
GGCGGGCGAGUGGAAUGGAUCACCACGCUGGCCUCAUAAGCCGGAAAUACCGGGUUCGACUCCCGGGCCACGCAACCA